CUUGCUUUCUUUUGCCGGCGACCGGCGCACGGGUGAGUAACACGUAUCCAACCUGCCCUUUACUCGGGGGUAGCCUUUCGAAAGAAAGAUUAAUACCCGAUAGCAUAAUGAUUCCGCAUGGUUUCAUUAUUAAAGGAUUCCGGUAAAGGAUGGGGAUGCGUUCCAUUAGGUUGUUGGUGGGGUAACGGCCCACCAAGCCUUCGAUGGAUAGGGGUUCUGAGAGGAAGGUCCCCCACAUUGGAACUGAGACACGGUCCAA
rnacentral:rRNA from 1 species